CCCUACCUAGACUAUAUAGGUCGUCGGGCUCAUCCCCCGAAAGAUUGGGUUCAAGUCCCAAGGUAGGGUC
rnacentral:tRNA from 1 species